rnacentral:lncRNA from 1 species
GGCGGCGGCGAGCGGCGAGCGGGGCGGUGUGUCUGUCUCGGCUGUCACACCUGUCCUGAGGAAAGCCCUGUGGAAGGAGCUCGGUGCCGCGAUUCAGGACCCUGAGGCCACUGUGAAACUGCAAAUUCUUUCCAAGCUGUUGCCACCUCCGGGAAGCAGAGGGCUGCACAACCUGAUGGACUGCCUUCCUGCUGCUCCGGAGAGAGCAGGCAAUGAAGAGAGCUGGGCCGUGGCAGAUGCCAUAUCCACGGUGCUUAAAAACUCAGAGGAGCUGCAUUCCUGGAGGAGACAUCUCUUCUCAGCCUGCGUAAAGGGGUUAGUUGCCAUGUACAGCAGCAGUAAAGAUGAAGGCAAGCAAGAAGUGGAGAGGUCCAUGCUGCUGAGGCUAGAGGAAUUAUUGUGUGUGGUUGAAGAAGUGGACCCAGAUGACUGGUGUGACCUUGUGAAGACAGGGCUCAAGUACCGUUACAGAGAUGAAACAUUUCUGAAGGUCCUGAACGUUGCCAUCCAGUUACUAUACAUGAAAGAAUCCUCACUAAGAGCGUAGUCAAGCUCUCCAAACUACACAUGGUGGUCACACAGCACUCUCCAUUUUUGGCAGCCAUCCUGAGGUCAAGAGAAGAUGAUUGCAUGAGCGUCCAGACAAAAGGAUGGCUCUCUGUGGUCUCAGACAGUGUUCCCUGGGAGGAAGGGCAGCCUUUGCCUCGCCUGCACAGCUCAGGUGGAUGUGACAGAACUGGUGUGGCCUGACAAGGCAUGAGCAGCUGUCUGUGCACUGGAGUGCCUUGAAACCUUUCUCUGUGAGGUUUUGGACACUUUUCUCUUUGGGAUUUCUUGUGACACAUCACCCAGGACAGGAGAAAUCAUUAAGCUCCUCCCAUCUUUGCCAGAAGCUUCAGUGUUUAAGCAGCCAGAGCCAAGAGGCUUCAGCACCAGGGGUGUGCACUGGAGGGCUCCUGGUCCUGCCCACGCUGUGGGGGAGCCAGGGCUGGCACAAGGACUCGUGCAGGUGCUGCUCUGGCACCGGAGCUGUUGCCCUGUGGAGCCAUUUUAAAGGUGUGAUUAUGGAACAUUUUGGAGGCUGUUUCUGGAAUUCCAUUUGUAGCUGGAUCUCGCUCCGAGUGCAGCAGUCCAGGUGAGGGUUCUGACCUCUCCAGACUUGUGCUCACCUUGGUACAGCCCGGGGCUGGAGCAGGUUUUCCAGGGAAGUGGAGAUGGCUGAGGAUGGGUGCUCUGGAAAGCAGGGACCUGCUGGGAUUUGCAUUUGCAAAGCUGCCGUGAAGUUUGUAAAACCAGCAGGAAAUUCUAAUUCCUGUGGUUUUUGGGGAGGAGGUGCAGGUCACCCUGAGAGCUAGACCAGAACUGGUUUGUGGUAAGGAGUCUGAGGUGUGUAAGUGCCACAGCUGGUAUGAGCUGUGUGCUAAAUGCAGUCCCAGCCCCAGAGGGAGGCUGAUGGGCUCUGCUCAUUGCUGUCCCCAGCUGUCCCCAGCCCGCUGCUCCCCCGUGGAUCUGCUCUGGAUUCGGGCUGUCGGUGCUGGAGCGCCCUGCUCCCUGCAGGGCCCUGCCCCUAACCCACGCAGAGAGAGAGAGCCCUGCUGGCCAGAGUGAUCUUUUUUCAUUUUUUCUCCCUGUGCUGUUAGCAAGGAAGGGAUGGGACUGCUCUUGGGCCGGGAGCACUCAGUGCUCAGGUGAGCACCCGCCUGGGAGCGUGAGGGUUUGCAGAGCGAGCAGCUGCUGCGGCUCAGGAGCAGCCACAAGUUCUUUGUUCCAAGGCAGGCCAGAACUUUCUAACCCCGGGGUUUAUUUGGCUUUUGGAACCCAGCACCUCUGCUCAGUUCUGCCGCACUGAGGGUACUUUUGUUCAAUGCCUUCUGUUGGAACUUGUCAGCUCUCAGUGUAGCGCACACAGCCCCAGCCCUGCCCUGCAAACCCUUCCCCAUCGUGCCCACACAGUUUCCUCUCUCACUCACUCGGGGCAGGCUCCUACUGACAGCCACAGAAACAGAAGUUAUUUUAUGUUGUUUUAUUCUUUUCCUGCGUAAUGCCCGUGUCUUGUAUUGGUACAUCAAUCCCAGCUUCUCCCGAGGCUGCAGAUCAAAUCUUUCAGUGUCUGUGGGAGUUUCUGGUUUUCCCAUUCCCACGUCUCCCCUCUCUCUCUGUAUGAAAAAAAAAUUUUAAUAAUGGAUUUGUUAAGCAUUUGUUGCAUAAAUUAACAUACAGAAGGUGUUAUCAUUAGUAUUAUUAUAAUAAUAUAAUUAAAAUGUAUAAUUUUGGCAUAAGAUUUUUAAAUUAUGGUGUUAAAUUUUAUUUAUUGUUAUCUUUUAUUAGUUAUUCUUAUUUUUGAUAUUUCUUAAAGUUGUACAUUUUUAUAAGUAGAUUUUGUGUGAAUAGAUAUGUUUAUACAUUUUAUUAAAUUUUUAUAUUUAUAUUUGUGUGUUAAUAAAAGAAAAUUUAUUGUUGGUUUUUUUUUAAACUGCAUAUUUAAUAUUUUUAUAUUUUUUAAAAUGUUAUUUAUUGUAAGGGGAUGUAGAAUUAGAUUGUUUAUUUAGAUAAUAUUUUAACUGAUUUAAUUGUUUUAGCGUUGUUGUUGAAGUAAUAGGUGGUAUAAAAAGUGAUGCUACCAUUUUUAAGUUUCAAGGCUUAAAAUUACUUUUCUAUUUUGGUUACUAUUGAUGGAUAAAUGACUUUUUUGUUUUAAAUUGUUAACUAUUUUUAUAUAAGGGCUUUUUAAUUAUAUGGGUGAUUUGUAAUGUUUUUUAUUGGUAUAUUAGGUAAGUAAGUCAAGAAUGGAUUUUUUGAGUAGUGCUAGAUAAAUACAAAGUAUGUAAACUUGAAACUUCAGUUAAAGUUACUUAAACGUUUGUUUUAGAUUGGUUAAUUGGUAAAGUGAUAUAAUUAAAAGUAAAUAAAGUAAAUAGAGUAGAGGUAUAAUAUUUGAUAGAAUUUUAUAAUUGGUAAGUUAUUAAAUAAGAUUUUUAUAAUAUUGAUUUUUACAUUUAUAAAGAAACUUAAAGUUUAUAUAUUUUGGUGGGUGUAGUACAAGAUGUUAGGUGUAAGUUGCAAUUCUUGUGUAAUUUACUUGUAUUUACAUAUUUACUUGUAUUUACAUAUUUAGUAACAUAGUAACCUAUGUUACUAAAUAUCUAUAUUUAGUAACAUAGGUGAAAUGAUAUAAUUAGUAAGUAUUAAAAGAUUGUACAUUAUUUUAGAGUUUAUAACAGUUGAUAAAUGUUAAAUUAGUGGUAAGUUAAAUAUUUAUGUGUGGAUAAUGAUUUUUUAAGUUUAUUUAAAAAAUAAGUUUAUUUGUUAUAUUGAUAAAGUUAAAUUGUUAAGUUAAAAUUAUUUUAAUUUAUUUUUGACGUAGAAAAUAUUUGGGUUUGUUGUUAAUUAUUUUAUUUAGGUAGAGUUAGGGUUAGGUUAGAUUUUAAAUUUUAAUUGGCAAAUGUUACUUAAUAUAUUUUUAUAUAAUGUUUUUAAAAGUAGUAGUUAAGAGUAAAAAUGUUAGGAUUAAAGAUUAAUUACAUUAUUUAAUAAUUGGUUUUUUUAGAAGUUUUUUAGAAUAGAUAUGCUUUGAAUAUAGUAACCUUUUUUUUUAAGGAUUUGAAAGUGGUUAUGGACAGGAUUGUGAGUUUGGAUUUGGAUAUUGAGAGUGUGAAGGUGGAGGAAAUGUAUGAGAGAGUGAUUACUUAGUGUGAAACUUAGAAAAAGAAAUUAAUGUUGUAGUUGGAUUUUAUAUUGAAGUGAUUUUGUAAUAAUAACUGAGGAAACUGAUAAGAUUAACAGUUUGGAGGAGGUUUUUAAUGAAAUAUCUUUUUUUUUAAUCUUGAAAAAUAUUUAAAAUGAUGAGAUAACAUUAGGUUAAAUUAUAGAGUUAGUGUAGAGAUUAGUUAGAGAGUUAACCUGGUGUAAGAGCGGUAUAAGUUGAGAAUAAAAAAGUAGGAAUUGGAAAUUUUAUGUGUUUUUAGAUCAUUAUAUAAAGAGAUAAAGUAUAUUAGUAGUAAGUGUUUGAAGAAGUUAGGAUAACUUUUAAAAAAUAUUUAUAUAUUAAGGAAAUAGAGUAAAAUUUUUAAAUAGUAUGAUAUGAAUAGUAAUUGCUAUUUUUUGGUGUUACAAAAGAUAAAAAGAGUAGGGAUUGUAAUGAAGAGCAGAAUUUUUGAUGAAAUUGAUGAUAUAAUACACUGUAUUUUUUUACUUCUGAAUAGGUGUUUGUUAGUGUUUUCUUUUAGUUGUUUUCAUUGGAGUUGUUUUAAUUUUUAAGAAAAUUAACCAUAUACUGUAUAGUUUAGAGAAAUGAUCUUUGAUAAAAUUUAGGAUAAGUUAUAUUAAAUAACAUUUAAAUUUAGACAAUGAAUUUUGAUAGUAAGGAAUAAUAAACUUAAUUUUAAUAGAUAAAAAGAAACUUAAUGUAUUUAUUUAAAUGUACUGACAUUUAAUUUUGUUUGAUUUUAUUAACACAACAUAUUGAAUGUUAUUAUUUAUAAAUAUUGAAGGUCUUUUAAGUCUUUUGGUUUUAAAGAAAUUUUAGUUGGUUGAGUUAUAAUUAUUACUUAUAUCUUUACAGGGUGGUUUUAUUUAUUGGGAGAUAUGUUUCUUAGUAAAAGAUCUUUUAUUUAUGUUACAUUUCAAAUGGUGCUAAUUUGUACAGUGGGGUUUUUUUAAAUGCAGGAUAUUGAUUAGAUUGUUUUAUAUUUUUUGUGGGCUUUGAAAAAAUAUUUAUAUGGUUAGGCUUUUCUAUUUUUGAAGUAUGUUUUGAUGGUUUUUGUUGUUUUUCUGAGAGUUUUUGAUUUAGAAUUUGAAGAGUAUUUGGCGUUUGGAGGAAAUAAAGGUGAGGGUUUUUUGGAUACAGCUGAGUUGUAUGGUAUGUUAUUUUGAUUUUUUUUUGGUUGUGGGGAAGGUCUCCUUUGGUUAGAUGUGGGAGCGUGAGACUGGAACUAGGACUUUUUGUCUAAUGCUUGAUGAGUCUGUUUUAUGGGGAGGAGGUGUUAUUUUAAGUUUUAUAAAAUACACUGAGAAUUAGUUAAACUCAUGGAAGAAACAUUAUGGUAAUUAAAGGGUGCUAUGUUUAAAGAGCUAUAAAUCUGUUUUAAUAACUGCUUGACAUAAGGUGAGUUGGAUCUACUUUUUCUGCCCCAGCAAGCAUCAGGCACAUCCGCAUCAAUGGCACGACCCCUGCCCACUGCUCCUGUUUCACCCGACCAAAUUCAAGAGCAAAAGUUGGUUGGGCUUUAAGAACUUGAAAUAACUUUGAAGCAAAAUAAAUCACAUUUUUCCCCUGUGUUUUUUUCCUUUCAGAUGCUGCACUCACCUCUGCAGACAAGCGCUGAGCUCUCACUGCAGGAACCUGUCAGGCCUCGGUGGCUGUGAGUUCACGUUCUUCUCACUGGGGAAUUGAAAUAAUUGCUGGUUAAUUGCAGAAAUGUUUUCUGGAGCCUUUCCCCUUUUGUGCCCCUGUGCUGUGUGGGACAAGGGCAGAGGAGCCUCGGGCUGGAAAGGGGCAGGAGAAGGCAAAGGGACCCCCUGGUGUCCCCAGGGCUCUGUGGGGAACAGAACGGACACUGUGCGGGCACGGGGAGGUGAGGAGUGACAGUCUGGGGCCAAAUCCCAGCUCACCCGCAGGGAAAUAAGUGAGGGACAUUUUGGAGGGGAAAGCUGAGGCCAUGAGUUCACCCAGCCUGGCCAAGUUGUGUUCGCACAAAGUGGCACCGGAGGCGAAAGUCAAUCCAGAGCCCACCCUGCUCAACCUCUAAGUCCCAGAAUAAAUUCUUCAAGCUGCCCGUUGAGGGACUAAAAACACAUGAAAGAGAACCAAGAGAAUUCCAAGAGCAAACCAGAAGGUUCCUGGGAAUCCCACUGCACUGUUGUCACAGCCUUUUUGACAGAGCUCUUAAGUUUUUUAUUUUAAUGCUGAUUUUCUCUGCCUGGAUCAUUCACUCCGUGGGCUGUGGGGACUUUUUGGGAUUGAACUCCCUCCCUGUGGCCCUGACACUGCUCAGGAGCUGGAGGAAAAGCAGAGUCAGCUCUCCUGGCAGGGGCAAGGAGUUUUCCCCCAGAGCAGAUGCAGCAGCUGCCCUCCAGCCCGGCCAGGAGGGAUCUGCUUUGGCUCCUGGCUGCUGCAGGGACAGAACGUGUUCAGCUGCUCCAGGUGACAUUCCAGCUGCCUCAUCUCCCAUCCCUGCUCCCGCCCCUCCUGCUCUCAGCUCCCGCCCAGCCAGCUGUGCCGAGGGGAAUUUGUCCCACCAGCAGCAGGGGAAGGACAAGGGCUCCCACCCUGGCACUUGGAUUGUCCCUCUGGGGGAUGCUGGCUGCUGGGAUUUAGAUCAUUCUAUACAUUUGGCUGCUGAAACUUCCCCACCCAGGGGAUUUAGCACAAAGAUUGUUCUCUGCGUGGUGCCGGGAUUUGGGGUUCAGUAUCAGCUUUGCUAGUUCAGAUGAAUUAUACCCACAGCCCCAGGUUCCCUGCUGAAUUCCUGCUGGAAAAACCUGACGGUGCCUCGUGGAGAGUGGAAAUUCCCAUGCAGAGCUGCCACUUUAGCACCAGCUGUGUCAGGAACCAGCAGAGGUUCCAGGGAAGCUCAGUGGGAUCAGGACAAGGACAGGUCUCUAUUCUAUAGAACUUGCUAUUUAAAACCCUCAUCCCCCAGCCCAGGGCUGUGUCGUGGAGUCACUUGACAGAGUUCCCUGGAACUCAGCUGAUUUCACCCCCGGAGCUCAGGGCUCCAGGUGAUGUUUAAAGCAGGACCAAGGGCGGUGGCUGGAUGCGCUCCCG